AUUGAACGCUGGCGGCGUGCUUAACACAUGCAAGUCGAUCGGUAACAGGUGUAGCAAUACAUGCUGACGAGAGGCGGACGGGUGAGUAAUGCUUGGGAAUCUGCCUAUUAGUGGGGGACAACCCGGGGAAACUCGGGCUAAUACCGCAUACGCUCUACGGAGGAAAGCCGGGGACCGCAAGGCCUGGCGCUCAUAGAUGAGCCCAAGUCGGAUUAGCUAGNGGUAGGGUAACGGCCUACCAAGGCGACAAUCCGUAGCUGGUCUGAGAGGACGACCAGCCACACCGGAACUGAGACACGGUCCGGACUCCUACGGGAGGCAGCAGUGGGGAAUAUUGGACAAUGGGGGCAACCCUGAUCCAGCGACGCCGCGUGGGUGAAGAAGGCCUG
rnacentral:rRNA from 1 species